GGAGUCACUACCUAUGGAGCUGUUUUGUUGUUUAUGGUACUUUUUGCUGUUAUACUCACUAUCUCAUUCAAUGUACAAAAUGUUUAUGAGGUUGUACAAUCGAGAAAAGGAAGCAUGCUAAAUGCCUUGGCUAUGCUUGUUCCAUUUGGCGUGCUGUUGGGGGUAAUUCUGCUCUGG